AAGCACAGCGGAGGGGGCACAUGAGCUGGGAAGGGGAGCAGCUGUGCAGCCUGAGGCCCGGAAGGUCUUAUCCUUCCCUCCCCUCUCCCUGGCAGCCGCCCAGCCCACACAGAGCUUCUAUGUGAAUUAGAAAAAGCGGACGGCGCUGCUCGGGAACGUGAGCUCCAUCACGGCUGCAGACGUUGUCGAGAACAGCGCCUGGCAGGCUGCAGGGCCCUGGGAGGACAAAGGCCCCAGCUGAGGACAUCCAGGACCAAAGACCUCAACACCAGAGGAAUGACGGGGUAUGUGCC